UACAGAGGGGGCAAGCGUUAUUCGGAAUUAUUGGGCGUAAAGGGCGCGUAGGCGGCUUUGCAAGUGGCGGGUGAAAUCCCUCGGCUUAACCGAGGAACUGCCUGUCAAACUGCAUGGCUUGAGACCAGGAGAGGUGAGUGGAAUUCCCAGUGUAGCGGUGAAAUGCGUAGAUAUUGGGGAGGAACACCAGUGGCGAAGGCGGCUCACUGGACUGGUACUGACGCUGAGGCGCGAAAGCGUGGGGAGCAGCACGGG
rnacentral:rRNA from 1 species